rnacentral:lncRNA from 1 species
UUAGGGGUUAGGUGGUUUACAUCAGGGGUUAGGGUUAGCUGUUAAAGUAAUGUAGUGUGUGUAAUGUAGUGUGUGUGUGUAAUGUAGUGUGUGUGUGUAAUGUAGUGUGUGUGUGUGUAAUGUAGUGUGUGUGUGUAAUGUAGUGUGUGUGUGUAAUGUAGUGUGUGUGUGUAAUGUAGUGUGUAUGUGUUAGUAGUGUGUGUGUGUGUGUAAUGUAGUGUGUGUGUGUGUAAUGUAGUGUGUGUGUGUGUGUAAUGUAGUGUGUGUGUGUAAUGUAGUGUGUGUGUGUGUAAUUGUGUGUUUGUGUGUAAUGUAGUGUGUGUGUGUAAUGUAGUGUGUGUGUGUAAUGUAGUGUUUGUGUGUAAUGUAGUGUGUGUGUGUAAUGUAGUGUGUGUGUGUGUAAUGUAGUGUGUGUGUGUGUAAUGUAGUGUGUGUGUGUGUAAUGUAGUGUGUGUGUGUAAUGUAGUGUGUGUGUGUGUAAUGUAGUGUGUGUGUGUGUAAUGUAGUGUGUGUGUGUGUAAUGUAGUGUGUGUGUGUGUAAUGUAGUGUGUGUGUGUAAUGUAGUGUGUGUGUGUGUAAUGUAGUGUGUGUGUGUGUAAUGUAGUGUGUGUGUGUGUAAUUGUGUGUGUGUGUAAUGUAGUGUGUGUGUGUGUAAUGUAGUGUGUGUGUGUAAUGUAGUGUGUGUGUGUGUAAUGUAGUGUGUGUGUGUGUAAUGUAGUGUGUGUGUGUGUAAUGUAGUGUGUGUGUGUUUGUCUGGGUUAUCUGGGCCUUGCAGCUCCUCCAGUUCUUCCUGCCAAACAUCCGUCUCCACGGGAACACAGACAGGAAAGAGGAAGUGUGAGCUAAUAGGAAACUUCUAGAACAGGAGGAGAGGGAGGAGGGGAAGACAGUAGGGUACGGGAGGACGGAGAGGAAAGAUAAAAAAAGAUGUCAAAGGAUGUGUUGUGGUCAGGGGUUGGGGUUAGGGGUUGUGGUCAGGGGUUAGGGUUGUGGUUAGGGUUUAGGGUUGUGGUUAGGGUUUAGGGUUGUGGUUAGGGUUUAGGGUUGUGGUUGUGGUCAGGGUUUAGGGUUGUGGUCAGGGUUUAGGGUUGUGGUUAGGGUUUAGGGUUGUGAUUAGGGUUUAGGGUUGUGGUCAGGGUUUAGGGUUGUGGUUGUGGUCAGGGUUUAGGGUUGUGGUUAGGGGUUAGGGUUGUGGUUAGGGUUUAGGGUUGUGGUUAGGGGUUGUGGGUUGUGGUUAGGGUUUAGGCUUGUGGUUAGGGGUUGUGGUUAGGGUUUAGGCUUGUGGUUAGGGGUUGUGGUCAGGGUUUAGGCUUGUGGUUAGGGGUUGUGGUUAGGGUUGUGAUUAGGGUUUAGGCUUGUGGUUAGGGGUUGUGGUCAGGGUUUAGGGUUGUGGUCAGGGUUGUGGUCCCUGAGUACCAACCAAUCACUGAGGACCAUUAAUGCUAGUCUUCCUAUUAGUCAGAUGUGAGGAGCUGGAGCCGUCCUGCUGGUGGUGAAGGAGGAAAUGAGGGGGAGCGAGUUCCUUCCCACUCCUCCCUUCUCUGGUUUCCCUUCAGAAAGACGAGAGUCAUCAAGACCCUGUAGAGCCCUGGACACAGAGCAGUACAGAGCAGUACAGGACUACUACAGAGCAGCACAGGACUACUACAGACCAGCACAGGACUACCUACCGCAGACCCUGUAGAGCCCUGGACACAGAGCAGUACAGAGCAGCACAGGACUACUACAGAGCAGCACAGGACUACCUACCGCAGACCCUGUAGAGCCCUGGACACAGAGCAGUACAGAGCAGUACAGGACUACUACAGAGCAGCACAGGACUACUACAGACCAGCACAGCAGUACUACAGACCAGCACAGGACUACUACAGACCAGCACAGGACUACUACAGACCAGCACAGGACUACUACAGACCAGCACAGCAGUACUACAGACCAGCACAGGACUACUACAGACCAGCACAGCAGUACUACAGACCAGCACAGCAGUACUACAGACCAGCACAGGACUACUACAGACCAGCACAGGACUACCUACCGCAGACACUGUAGAGCCCUGGACACAGAGCAGUACAGAGCAGUACAGGACUACUACAGACCAG